rnacentral:rRNA from 1 species
GCAGUCGAGGGAGAAGUUUUGUGCUUGCACAGAACAGAAACCGGCGAACGGGUGCGUAACACGUAUGCAACCUACCUAUAACUGGGGGAUAGCCCGAAGAAAUUCGGAUUAAUACCCUAUAAUAUUUACAUACCGCAUGGUAUGUAUUUUAAAACUCCGGUGGUUAUAGAUGGGCAUGCGGCUUAUUAGUUUGUUGGUGAGGUAACGGCUCACCAAGACUACGAUAAGUAGGGGGUCUGAGAGGAUGAUCCCCCACACUGGUACUGAGACACGGACCAGACUCCUACGGGAGGCAGCAGUAGGGAAUAUUGGACAAUGGACGAAAGUCUGAUCCAGCCAUGCCGCGUGCAGGAUGACGGCCCUAUGGGUUGUAAACUGCUUUUAUAUAGGAAGAAACCUUUCCACGUGUGGAAAGCUGACGGUACUAUACGAAUAAGGACCGGCUAACUCCGUGCCAGCAGCCGCGGUAAUACGGAGGGUCCAAGCGUUGUCCGGAUUUAUUGGGUUUAAAGGGUACGCAGGCGGGACUUUAAGUCAGUGGUGAAAGCCUCCAGCUUAACUGGAGAAUUGCCAUUGAAACUGAAGUUCUUGAGUAUGGAUGAGGUGGUUGGAAUAUAACAUGUAGCGGUGAAAUGCAUAGAUAUGUUAUAGAACACCAAUUGCGAAGGCAGAUCACUAAACCAUUACUGACGCUGAGGUACGAAAGCGUGGGGAGCGAACAGGAUUAGAUACCCUGGUAGUCCACGCCGUAAACGAUGUUCACUCGCUGUUGGCGAUAUACUGUCAGCGGCCAAGCGAAAGCAUUAAGUGAACCACCUGGGGAGUACGAUCGCAAGGUUGAAACUCAAAGGAAUUGACGGGGGCCCGCACAAGCGGUGGAGCAUGUGGAUUAAUUCGAUGAUACGCGAGGAACCUUACCAGGGCUUAAAUGAUAAUUGACCGUCGCCGAAAGGUGUCUUUCUUUUAGACAAGUAUCAAGGUGCUGCAUGGCUGUCGUCAGCUCGUGCCGUGAG